GCCUUUGUAGCUUAAUUGGUUAAAGCAUUCGUCUGAAGAUCGAAUUAUGUGAGUUCAAAUCUCAACUUAGGCA
rnacentral:tRNA from 2 species